AAUAAUAUAAUAGCCCAUGCAGCAUAUAUACUGUAUUGAAUUGCAUGGUUAUUAUUCCGAAUAUAGUCAUGCGGACCAUUAUUGUGCAGUUCGAAUAAAUAUCAGACUGUCACCAAAAAGCGUACAAAGCGUAUAUAAUCAGCUACACAAUUUAAUUGAUAUAGGCUACAUGCAGUUGAUUAUGACUACAGAUAUAUAAAUCUACAAAAUUAUACUUUAUACAUAGUUUUUAUAAUGGUAACGUUAAACUAAGUCUUCUUUAUUCCAUUUAAAAUCACUUUAUUCUUAAAAUCUUACUAUUGUUGCUGAUUCUGAUAUAUGACUUUUGCGACCACCAAGUGAUAUCAUGAAAUCUUGUUAAUAUAAUGUACAUGCCCCCUUAAUUCCCUAGCUCUGUGAGUGUUUUUAUAUAUAGUGCAAUGUGUAUGUUGUACUGAAAAUGGAAACAUCGUGGCUAUACACAUAAAA